rnacentral:rRNA from 1 species
GACGAACGCUGGCGGCGUGCCUAACACAUGCAAGUCGAACGCAGUGGGGACGGGUGAGUAACACGUGGGUAACCUCCCAUCAGAGGGGAUAACCCUUGGCAACAGGUGCUAAAACCGAUACUGAUGGAUGGAACCGGGGGGGAUUAGCUAGUUGGUGAGGUAACGGCUCACCAAGGCCACGAUGCAUAGCUGGGCUGAGAGGGUGAUCGGCCACACUGGGACUGAGACACGGCCCAGACUCCUACGGGAGGCAGCAGUGGGGAAUCUUGGGCAAUGGAGGAAAGUCUGACCGAGCAACGCCGCGUGAGUGAAGAAGGUCUUCGGGUCGUAAAACACUGUUGUUAGGGAAGCGGUAUCUGACCAGAAAGCCACGGCUAACUACGUGCCAGCAGCCGCGGUAAUAC